AUGGACGGCUCCGGCUCCGGCGUCGGCCGCAAGAAGCUCAAGCACCGGCUGGCGGCCAUCCUGUCGGUCUUCUCCAGGCGCUCGGGUGGCAGGAAGCGCCGCGACGACGACGCCGCGCCGCCGGCGCUCGCAUUGCCCUCCUACGGCCGCAUCGGGGCGGGAGGCAAGAAGGCUGCGACAGGCGACCACCACGACCGCCGCCUCUCCGUCUCCGCGCGCCGCACCGUCCCGAUGAUCCGCAUCACCAUCGACUGCGCCGGCCGCCGCUCCGUCGACGCGGCCGACCCGUCCCUCCUCGCGCCGCUCGACGCCGACGACAUCAAGGCGGAGAGGGCGGCGCUCAAGGGGACCGGGCUGCCGUUCGGGACGAGCGAGUGGGAGGGCCGCAAGUGCCCGCCCUCCUCGCCGUUCCGGGCGGCGCCUCUGCCACCGCUGCCGAGGUGGAAAGAGCGGCCCAGCAACGGCGACCGCAGGCUGUCGACGCACUCGUCGCGCAGGCUGUUGAGCAGCUCCUCCUCCGACGACGAGUACGACGAGGACUCGCAGAACCUCUUCUCGUCCAGAAGCUUCUCCUCCGACUCGUCCGACUUCUACAACUGCCCGCGCAAGAACGCCGCCAAGGCGCGCGCCUCCGUGUCCGGGCCCUGCCGCGCGCCGCCGGCCGCCCCGCGCUGCGGCGCGUCGCAGAGCUGCCGGUACAGCUUCGAGAUGCCGCGGGGCUCGACGGCGUCCGCCGCCACGGACGGGGGCUUCGCGGUGGUGAAGCGCUCCGCCGACCCGUACGAGGACUUCCGCAAGUCCAUGGAGGAGAUGAUCGCCGAGUGGCCAGAAGGCAGCGGCGUCGGCGACGGCGAUGGGGAGCACAGCGCGGAGAGCUUGCUGGAGACGUACCUCGUGCUCAACUCGCCGCGGCAUUACCCGGUGAUCCUCGCGGCCUUCGCCGACGUGCGGGAGACGCUCUGCCCCUGA
rnacentral:rRNA from 1 species